GUCUAUAGCCAUAUUACCUGAAUGUGCCCAGCCAUUGUAUCUGAUCUCAGAAGCUAAGCAGGGUUGGGCCUGGUAAGUCGAUAGAAGACUGCUUGGAAAUACCAAGUGCUGUAGGCU
rnacentral:rRNA from 1 species